UAUCAUGGCCAAAAUACCCUAAAAACACCAAAUUCUGUCUGACCUCUGAAACUAAGUAAGGUCAACACUAGUCAGUACUUGGACAGGAGACCAGCAAUGAAUGCCAGGUGCUAUACAGG
rnacentral:rRNA from 1 species